CUCUGGCUCCCCUAUCGUACCAUCUGCGCUGUCGUUGCUGGGCCGCCUGGAGAUUAGACUGUACCGUCUGGAUUAGGGUCUCCAAGCGUUCCCUGAACUCUAGUACAUAUGGGACAAUAGGGGUACCGUUACUGGUGACUGUUCCCUCCCAGUGUUCCCUAAUGAGGUCUAAGGGACCCCGCACUCUCCUUCCGAAUAGUAAUUCAAAUGGUGAGAA